UUUUGAAUCUGGCGGUCUUCAGGCCGUCCGAGUUGUAAUCUAGAGAAGCGUCUUCCGCGCUGGACCGUGUACAAGUCUCCUGGAAGGGAGCGUCGUAGAGGGUGAGAAUCCCGUCUUUGACACGGACCCCCAGUGCUAUGUGAUGCGCUCUCGACGAGUCGAGUUGUUUGGGAAUGCAGCUCAAAUCGGGUGGUAAACUCCAUCUAAAGCUAAAUAUUGGCGAGAGACCGAUAGCGAACAAGUACCGUGAGGGAAAGAUGAAAAGAACUUUGGAAAGAGAGUUAAACAGUACGUGAAAUUGCUGAAAGGGAAACGCUUGAGGUCAGUCGCGUCGGACGGGGAUCAACCUUGCUUCUCGCUCGGUGUACUUCCUGCUCGACGGGUCAGCAUCAGUUUCGAUCGCCGUACAAGGGUCGAGGGAAUGUGGCACUCCUCGGAGUGUGUUAUAGUCUUCGAUCGCAUGCGGUGCUCGGGACUGAGGAACUCAGCACGACCCCUCGAGGGUUCGGGGCCACGGCCUACGUCAACGUGCUUAGGAUGCUGGCAUAAUGGCCUUAAGCGACCCGUCUUGAAACACGGACCAAGGAGUCUAACAUGCCUGCGAGUGUUUGGGUGCAAAACUCGAGCGCGUAACGAAAGUGAAAGUCGAGACCUCUGUCGUGGAGGGCAUCGACGCCCGGACCUGAGUCUUUGACGACGGAUCUGCGGUAGAGCAUGUAUGUUGGGACCCGAAAGA
rnacentral:rRNA from 1 species